UACGUAGGGUGCAAGCGUUGUCCGGAAUUAUUGGGCGUAAGGAGCUCGUAGGUGGCCUGUCGCGUCGGCUGUGAAAACUCGGGGCUCAACUCCGAGCUUGCAGUCGAUACGGGCAGGCUAGAGUUCGGCAGGGGAGACUGGAAUUCCUGGUGUAGUGGUGAAAUGCGUAGAGAUCGGGAGGAACACCUGUGGCGAAGGCGGCCCCCUGGGCCGGCCCUGACACUGAGACGCGAAGGCGUGGGGAGCGAACGGG
rnacentral:rRNA from 1 species